AUUUUAUAUCUCAAAUUCUUUUUUCCAAUUUUUACUUUUUGAUUAAUAUCAUUUUGUAGAGAGUAAAAAAACAUUGCAGUUGCGGGUGGAGGAUACAUUUGAUUUUUAAAAAAAGCAAGUACAUAUUAAUUAAUCUCAUAUUAUUAAGAUCUUCAUCGACUCUGUUUUUCUUUUUAAUGAUAUUCAUUACCUCUGUUUUUUUUUUUAAUCUCUGUUUUCUUCUUUGCUAGUAUGUAUGUAUAAAUAAAUUCAUAAUUUGCUGGAUUUGUGUUAAACCGUCAAGAAGACAAGGAAUUCCAUGAGCACGACCUGCAAUUGAAGCACCAAACUACAUGUAAGUAUUAACUAUAAUAAUAAAUUUAUGAAUUGCUUCUAUUAAUUCUAUUUGUUUGUAACUUAGAUUGUUCCCAUAAGUUUACAAAAAUAUAUAUUCAAUUUUAUAAUUCUCUUUUUCUUUUAAUAUAUAUAAAUUAGUUCCCUUAGGAAUAUAUAUAUAUAUAUAUAUAUAUAUAUAUAUAUUAGUUCCCUUAUGCUAAAGAAAUGAAUUCUUACAUAUUGCUUCAGUCCCAAAAUAUAAGCAAAAAUUGAUCAAUAAAAGUGAAUAUAUUUAGUCCAAAUUUUUAACCAAAUACAUCAAAUUUAUUUAACCCAUUUUUGUUUAUAUUUUUGGACAGAGGGAGUACGUAUUAACUAACAUAUUAGUGAACAAUAUGUUUUAUAUGAAUUUCGAUGUAUUUUAAAGUCAAUAAUUUAUUCAUAGUUAGUUGGUCCAAUGAUGAUUGACAUUAAACUUGAUAUGGAGAGCUGGAACCACUUAAUGCCAGAACUAAUAUCCAAAUCAAAUUAAGCAGUCAAGUGGACCAGAUACUAGUGUGAAAACUAAAAAAAUAAAAAUAAAGCCAUUAAUUUUAUCCAACAACAUCUAUAUGAAAUGGCGGGAUCUCUUCUAACUUGUCAAGAUUCUAGUUUGAUUUUUGACUUUGAUAUAUAGCAACGUUAAAAUUCAUAAAGAAAAAUUUAUCACUUAUUUAAAAGGCUCAAAAAAAUUAAUUUCUACAAUUACAUAAAAAAAAAUCCAAUUUCCAUCCAAAAUAAAUAAACAAAGACAAAUAACUAUUAGAUGCUCUAAACAAAUACCAGUAUUAAAAAAUAAAACUAUGUUGUUUUACUUUAAGCAUAAGCACGCAUGAUGAAAUGUGGACAUGUGGUUAAUGAGUUAAUGACUUGUCAUAACAUCUUAGCACAUUCUAAAAUCUAGAAGUAGAAAGUUUAGUUUGCAUUCCUCUUAUGUUUAGUUUUAAUUUAUUAUAAAAAAUAAAAAAUAAAAAAUAAAAACAUAUUUCGUUUUUAGCACUUUCUUAGUUAUUUAUUAUUUAAUUAUGGUCUUCAAUUAUCGCCAACAGAUAAUAAGAGUUAAGACAAAUUAGUUGUUAUUGAUUCCCCAAAUUAAAUAUAGGCCAAGACGCGGAAAAAGGACCUCAUUAUAAUUUUUUUGAGUAAAUAGAUGCUUACCCCGUAACAAAAGUAGGUGAAUUUUUGUUUACUCCCUGCAAUUUUUUUUUUAUGAUCCGAUGUAAUGUGAAAACUCUAUAGUUUAUUCUCCUCAUGCAAAAUAUUAACUUAAGAUUCCAUAAAAUUGAUGACGUGGCAUGGUCAGUCACGGGUAAACCAAAACUCGCUAGCUAACAUUACAAGGGAUAAAAGGACGAAAUCAUAAGUCAACAUUUGAGGAGGAUAAAUAAGAGAAUUUUCACAUCACAGGGGAUGAUCCAAUUUUUUUUUUACACAGAGAUAAAUCAAAAUUUGCCUAAUUUGUGUUGAGAAUAUAACAAGUGUGAAUUUGUGGAAAUGAUCCACAUUAGAUAGGAAUGUGGUAACUUGAGCAUUUAUAAGUGAGAGAACUCACUCAUCUAUUACCUUAAGGUUUUGGGUGGACAAGUGAUGUGUCAAAAGUGUAUUGCUCAAAAGAAAAAAUCCCACAAAAUUGAAUAUUCCUCGCUCGACCCUCUCCGAUUGUUAUAAAAGGUUGUAAUUACUUUGUGACUUUCAUCACUCAAUGAAUAAGAUUACAACAAAAUAUUCUCUCUUCUUCCUCAUUCUUAUUCCUUCAUAGUUUCUCAAAUUGUGUGUGUAUACAAGAACCAAGAUUCAAGUGUGUGUGCAUAUGCUGCAAACUGUGUUGCAGCAUCGUUGUUUAGGCUCAAGCUGCGCCAACACUUUGCACAGGAUAAAAAUCUAUUUACCUUUAUUUUUUUCUAAAAGCAAAAUGGUCAAACAACAUUUAGAGUGAUAAAAUAAAAGAAAAUAUGGGUCUGUUUUCUAUUUUUUUUGUCAAAUGUCUGUCUUCAUAUAUAUAUAUAUAUAUAUAUAUAUAUAUAUUAAAGAAAAUAUUCGGUAUACACUCAUAUGCGUGCAUCCUCCUUGUGAGAGAAAGAGAUGUAUAUGAGAGAUCAUUGUGAUAUGUGUGAUAAAUUAAUAAGGAUUUGUUUAGCCUAUCUAAUAUUGCACAUGUUAAAGCAACUAAAAGUAAUAAUUUUUAUUAAAAAAUAAUAAUAAUUUUUUAAAAAUUAUAUAAUUAAUAUAAAACUUAUAAUUUUCAAUACAAAUUUACUAUUUAGAAUUUCUUAACAUGUACAAAUUUCACAUGAUACAAAAAUCCUAUUAAGUUUGUCAAAAAAAAAUCCUAUUAAGAUUAAAAUGAGCGUAGUGAAAUAAAAAAUGUUCAAAUAUCAUAGAUAAUGUUUUAAAUAUCAUAUUUUUUUUUAGGGUCAUGUUAACAUAUGCACAAAGGGCACAUGUUAAGCUUCUAAAUAUAGAAAAUUGCAUUUAAUAUUCGAAAAAAAAUUAAUGUUUAAGAAGUUAAAUGCACAAAUUUCAAUAUAUUAUUUCUACUUUUGCUUCCUUAACAUGUGCCCUUGGUGCACAUGUUAACAUUUUCCUUUUUUUUAAUACAAAGUGAAUAAACUCUACUCCUAUAUUAUAGGGUUUUUAUCCAAUCAGAAUCGGACACAGAACUUAUUUCUUCUCUUCCCGCUAGCUCCUGCUCCUCCGCCUCUAUCAAAACAUAA
rnacentral:lncRNA from 1 species